AAAUAGAACUUUGCAGAGAGAGUUAACAGGGCGUGAAACCGUUAAUUGAGAAACGAAUCGGAGCCACGAAGUCGUUUCGUAGAUGAGUCGGGACUGAAUUCAGUUUGCAAACUUCGGUUUGUGGGCGUAUUUUUGGUCUGGCUAUCUUUGUAAGCGUACACUGCAACCAGUUAGACGAUUGACGAUGGACCCAGUUGCUAGUGCUCAUAGUAGAAGUAGUGCUGUCCUUCGCAAGUUGGAUUGGUGUUGCUGGCUAUGUUGCAAGAGAACUAUCGUCAAAAACUGACUGGCACAAUGAAAAUCGCUCGCAAGAGCGUGUUCAAAUAACGCGGCUAGCCACAUAUAGGUCUACACAAGCGUCCAUUAGGUCUUUAAGUUCGGCAUCUUUGAAUUUGGACUUGCUUGCUACCAAUGGGGUAACUCUUGGUGCUUGUAUAGUUUCCAUCUAAUCAGGUGUUGACUUGGCUUGGUGUAGUUCGUUUGUGCUUCGAUUGGGCUUAUAUGCGAGUUGGUUCGCAACUUUAUUGGCAGUGAGUAGGUCGGCUUUCCGAACGACCCGUCUUGAAACACGGACCAAGGAGUCUAAUUAGGCAUCAAGUCGAUCGGUCUUGUAUAGGCCAGAAGGCGUAGAGACAAUCAAGUGAUCCUGGGUGCAAACAGCCCCUUGGCGCAACUUGUGCCUGUCCGUAUAGCAAUGUAGCAAUAAUUGCUGGGCGGAGCAAAGAGAUGCUUGAUUGGUACCCGAAAGAUGGUGAUGCUUGGGCAAAUUGAAGCCAGAGGAAACUCUGGUGGAGGAUUUAGAUUCUGACGUGCAAAUCGAUCGUCAGACCUGAGUUAGGGGCGAAAGACUAAUCGAACCAUC
rnacentral:rRNA from 1 species